rnacentral:rRNA from 1 species
AACGAACGCUGGCGGCAUGCCUAACACAUGCAAGUCGAACGAAGGCUUCGGCCUUAGUGGCGCACGGGUGCGUAACGCGUGGGAAUCUGCCCUUUGGUUCGGAAUAACAGCUGGAAACGGCUGCUAAUACCGGAUGAUGACGAAAGUCCAAAGAUUUAUCGCCAGAGGAUGAGCCUGCGUUGGAUUAGGUAGUUGGUGGGGUAAAGGCCUACCAAGCCGACGAUCCAUAGCUGGUCUGAGAGGAUGAUCAGCCACACUGGGACUGAGACACGGCCCAGACUCCUACGGGAGGCAGCAGUGGGGAAUAUUGGACAAUGGGCGCAAGCCUGAUCCAGCAAUGCCGCGUGAGUGAUGAAGGCCCUAGGGUUGUAAAGCUCUUUUACCCGGGAAGAUAAUGACUGUACCGGGAGAAUAAGCCCCGGCUAACUCCGUG